GAUGAAGAACGUAGCGAAAUGCGAUAAGUAGUGUGAAUUGCAGAAUUCAGUGAAUCAUCGAAUCUUUGAACGCACAUUGCGCCCCUUGGUAUCCCGAGGGGCAUGCCUGUUCGAGCGUCAUUUCACCACUCAAGCCUGGCUUGGUGUUGGGCGUCGUCCUCUUUGGGGACGCGCCUCGAAACGCUCGGCGGCGUGGCACCGGCUUUAAGCGUAGCAGAAUCUUUCGCUUUGGAAGUCGGGGCCCCGUCUGCCGGAAGACCUGCUCGCAAGGUUGACCUCGGAUCAGGCAGGGAUACCCGCUGAACUUAAGCAUAUCAAUAAGCGGAGGA
rnacentral:misc_RNA from 1 species